rnacentral:rRNA from 1 species
AGAGUUUGAUCCUGGCUCAGAUUGAACGCUGGCGGUAUGCUUAACACAUGCAAGUCGAACGGUAACAGAAGAGAGCUUGCUCUCUUGCUGACGAGUGGCGGACGGGUGCGUAACGCGUAGGAAUCUACCCUAAAGCGGAGGAUAACUCGAGGAAACUCGAGCUAAUACUGCAUAAUCUCUACGGAGUAAAGAAGGCCUCUAUUUAUAAGCUUUCACUUUAGGAUGAGCCUGCGUUGGAUUAGCUUGUUGGUGAGGUAAAGGCUCACCAAGGCGACGAUCCAUAGCUGGUCUGAGAAGAUGAACAGCCACACUGGGACUGAGACACGGCCCAGACUCCUACGGGAGGCAGCAGUGGGGAAUAUUGGACAAUGGGGGCAACCCUGAUCCAGCAGUACCGCGUGUGUGAAGAAGGCCUUCGGGUUGUAAAGCACUUUAGUUGAGGAGGAAAAAUCUACAGUUAAUACCUGUGGAUCUUGACGUUACUCAAAGAAUAAGCACCGGCUAACUCUGUGCCAGCAGCCGCGGUAAGACAGAGGGUGCAAGCGUUAAUCGGAAUUACUGGGCGUAAAGCGUACGUAGGCGGCUAAUUAAGUCGGAUGUGAAAGACCUGGGCUCAACCUGGGAAUGUCAUUCGAAACUGGUUGGCUAGAGUGGAGUAGAGGAGAGUGGAAUUUCCGGUGUAGCGGUGAAAUGCGUAGAUAUCGGAAAGAACACCAGUAGCGAAGGCGACUCUCUGGACUCAAACUGACGCUGAGGUACGAAAGCGUGGGGAGC